UAGCUACAGGCUUAACACAUGCAAGUCGAGGGGCAGCAUUUUAGUUUGCUUGCAAACUGAAGAUGGCGACCGGCGCACGGGUGAGUAACACGUAUCCAACCUGCCGAUAACUCCGGAAUAGCCUUUCGAAAGAAAGAUUAAUACCGGAUAGCAUACGAAUAUCGCAUGAUAUUUUUAUUAAAGAAUUUCGGUUAUCGAUGGGGAUGCGUUCCAUUAGUUUGUUGGCGGGGUAACGGCCCACCAAGACUACGAUGGAUAGGGGUUCUGAGAGGAAGGUCCCCCACAUUGGAACUGAGACACGGUCCAAACUCCUACGGGAGGCAGCAGUGAGGAAUAUUGGUCAAUGGGCGAGAGCCUGAACCAGCCAAGUAGCGUGAAGGAUGAAGGCUCUAUGGGUCGUAAACUUCUUUUAUAUGGGAAUAAAGUUUUCCACGUGUGGAAUUUUGUAUGUACCAUAUGAAUAAGGAUCGGCUAACUCCGUGCCAGCAGCCGCGGUAAUACGGAGGAUCCGAGCGUUAUCCGGAUUUAUUGGGUUUAAAGGGAGCGUAGGUGGAUUGUUAAGUCAGUUGUGAAAGUUUGCGGCUCAACCGUAAAAUUGCAGUUGAGACUGGCAGUCUUGAGUACAGUAGAGGUGGGCGGAAUUCGUGGUGUAGCGGUGAAAUGCUUAGAUAUCACGAAGAACUCCGAUUGCGAAGGCAGCUCACUAGACUGUCACUGACACUGAUGCUCGAAAGUGUGGGUAUCAAACAGGAUUAGAUACCCUGGUAGUCCACACAGUAAACGAUGAAUACUCGCUGUUUGCGAUAUACAGUAAGCGGCCAAGCGAAAGCAUUAAGUAUUCCACCUGGGGAGUACGCCGGCAACGGUGAAACUCAAAGGAAUUGACGGGGGCCCGCACAAGCGGAGGAACAUGUGGUUUAAUUCGAUGAUACGCGAGGAACCUUACCCGGGCUUAAAUUGCAACAGAAUAUAUUGGAAACAGUAUAGCCGUAAGGCUGUUGUGAAGGUGCUGCAUGGUUGUCGUCAGCUCGUGCCGUGAGGUGUCGGCUUAAGUGCCAUAACGAGCGCAACCCUUAUCUUUAGUUACUAACAGGUUAUGCUGAGGACUCUAGAGAGACUGCCGUCGUAAGAUGUGAGGAAGGUGGGGAUGACGUCAAAUCAGCACGGCCCUUACGUCCGGGGCUACACACGUGUUACAAUGGGGGGUACAGAAGGCGGCUACCUGGUGACAGGAUGCUAAUCCCAAAAACCUCUCUCAGUUCGGAUCGAAGUCUGCAACCCGACUUCGUGAAGCUGGAUUCGCUAGUAAUCGCGCAUCAGCCAUGGCGCGGUGAAUACGUUCCCGGGCCUUGUACACACCGCCCGUCAAGCCAUGAAAGCCGGGGGUACCUGAAGUACGUAACCACGAGGAGCGUCCUAGGGUAAAACUGGUAAUUGGGGCUC
rnacentral:rRNA from 1 species